AUUGAACGCUGGCGGCAGGCCUAACACAUGCAAGUCGAACGGUAACAGGAAACAGCUUGCUGUUUCGCUGACGAGUGGCGGACGGGUGAGUAAUGUCUGGGAAACUGCCUGAUGGAGGGGGAUAACUACUGGAAACGGUAGCUAAUACAGCAUAACGUCGCAAGACCAAAGAGGGGGACAUUCGGGCCUCUUGCAAUAGGACGUGCCCAGAUGGGAUUAGCUAGUAGGUGGGGUAACGGCUCACCUAGGCGACGAUCCCUAGCUGGUCUGAGAGGAUGACCAGCCACACUGGAACUGAGACACGGUCCAGACUCCUACGGGAGGCAGCAGUGGGGAAUAUUGCACAAUGGGCGCAAGCCUGAUGCAGCCAUGCCGCGUGUAUGAAGAAGGUCUUCGGGUUGUAAGUACUUUCAGCGGGGAGGAAGGGAGUAAAGUCAAUACCUUUGCUCAUUGACGUUACCCGCAGAAGAAGCACCGGCUAACUCCGUGCCAGCCGCCGCCGUAA
rnacentral:rRNA from 1 species